rnacentral:rRNA from 1 species
CUAGCCGUAAACGAUGCCUACUAGGUCGGAGUCUCUCUGACGGGAUUUCGGCCGAAAUUAAAACGUUAAGUAGGCCGCCUGGGGAGUACGGUCGCAAGGCUAAAACUCAAAGGAAUUGACGGGGGCUCACACAAGCGGUGGAGCAUGUUGCUUAAUUCGAUGCAACGCGAAGAACCUUAUCCUGGGCUUGACAUGCUUGGAUGCCUACCUGGAAACAGAUUAGGUUGCCCUUCGGGGUGAAACUUGCACAGGUGC